UGGCGCCAGGCUCCUCGCCCGCGGCUGCCACCUGCCUGCUACGCUUCCGUCCGCCACGCCACCUCAGCCUAACUUCUCUGGAAUUGGAGCCCUGAAAGCCUCUGCUCCACAGUCCGCCAGUGGAAAGCCCCGCGCCGCCACCUACUGUGCGGGAUCCCGUCUCCGCUCCUCUCCUCUCCCGCGACAGGAAAAUUUGGCGGAGCGGCGGCUCCUCAGCUGGUCUGAGGCGCGGGGCUCUCAGACCUCCAGCCUAGAAGAGCUGUUACAAUUUAAGCUGGUCCUGGAAACUUUACCUUCCUGAAAAAGAAAUUGUGGGUGCAGUAGCUGAAGACCAUUUCUAAGUAUUCUCAAGGCAUUGAGAACACCAAAUAAAGAAAUCAUGUUGCUGUGAUGGCAGAGCAAGAGGAAAGAUCUACCACGUUUAUUUGAGGAGGUCUUUGAAGCUGUCCUGAUUCUCCCUCUUCCCAUGACCUGGUUAUUCAACUAUUUAUUGGAUUCAGUAAGUAACUUGGUAUCUUUUCCUACUUGCCUAAGUAGGUUUUCAUUACUCCAAAUCAAAAGAAUCCAAUAUUCCUAAGCAAGCUCGCCCAGAUAUUAAAUAGGUAUUGGGGAUUUAAAUAACAAUUGGUUGAAUUCCAGAAGGAGCAACUGUUUAUAUUCAUGUUCAAAUGCAAUAGAUGAUAACUGCUGUCCAAAAAUAAAUUGUAAUCUGUAUACACUUGUCUUGAAGAACAAAAUCAACAUUUGUAUAACUUUCUCCUCAAUCAUAUUUGAUUUAAAUGCUUUCUAUUUCCUAGAUUACAUUUAACUUAUUUUUAAUGAAAAAAAAAAGAAAGAAAGAAGCAUCCUGCUUAUGUAGGAAAGUUUCCUUCUCUCCUUCUGCACUCCGCAAAUGCACAUUUCCAGGUUUAAAAAUCUUUCUGAAGUUUUCUUGACAAGAAUUCCAGUUUUCAGAAGUUUUCUAAUAAGAUCAAAAUACAGGUAACAGGACAAGAAGGCAAUGUGCUUGUUCCUCACUUUUCCCUCAUAAGGAAUGGAGUUGGUUCUCACAGCCAAAUAGUUCUGUGGUGUGGUGUUCAGGGAUUCUAACAGAGGUGACUGACAACAGCAGGCUUUUUAAAAAAAAAUACAUUCCAGAAGCUCAUGUACUCUGGAAAUUCAAAUUGCAGAUCCCAGCUGGCCUGGAAACAUCUGCUGUUCAUUGAUAACACGGUCAGGCUCUCAUUUCAGCUCUUCACUCUGUUGUGAAUUCAUUUGUGUAGCUGCCUUCCUGAAACUGUUUAUUCUGAAAUGGCAUGCUAGAAGCAUAGGCCAAAUAGAGUAAGUUUGCUGAAAGCUACAAGUUAAUUUGAUGGUUUUCCUGCUCUUGAAUGAACUUUCUGAUGCCUUCACCUUGUCAUAGUCUGAAGCAUAUCAGUUCAUUACAUUUGGGGAUAUACAUAUUAAUGUAUUCAGUAAGUAACUUGGGAUGAAAUGUGUUUAUCUCAUUCUAGCAAAAGCUGAUGGGCAUGCAUUUCCUAAUCUGAAUAAUUUACUUAGAGGAGGGUGAUUAUGAUCAUACAGCAUGGACUGCUGGAUUGCAUCUAUCACAGAGUGAUUUAUUCUGAACUACCGUGAGUGGAUCUGGAGUGAAAGUUCUUAAAAGAGAAACUGUGUUCUUCCUGAGGUGAGAGGCUGUCCUCAUGAGUUUGACAAAGUAAGUGACCAUGUUGGAGAGACCCACAUGGCUAAGAGGUAUGUUAAGAGGGCAUCCUUGAAGAUCUGAGGCCGGUUUUCAGUCAAGAGAUAGCAAAAAGCUAGCUUAUAGGGUUGCAAGGAAAUAAAUCUGAAUGAGCAAACUUUUCCCCAGUUAAUCCUGCACUUGAUAAUUCAGCCUUGCUGACAUCUCUCCUGAAGCCUUAUGAGCCUCUGAGUAGAGGACCCAAAUAAACCAUGCUCAGACCCCUGACCACAGAUACUUUGUAUGACACAAUACAUGUGUGUUGCUUUAAGAUGCUAAAUUAGUGGCAGUUUAUUAUGCAGAGAUGGAAAACUAGUGCAGUGCUUUAAAUAGCAAUGCAACCA